rnacentral:rRNA from 1 species
UGGGGAAUAUUGGACAAUGGGCGCAAGCCUGAUCCAGCCAUGCCGCGUGAGUGACGAAGGCCUUAGGGUUGUAAAGCCCUUUUGGCGGGGAAGAUAAUGACGGUACCCGCAGAAUAAGCUCCGGCUAACUUCGUGCCAGCAGCCGCGGUAAUACGAAGGGAGCUAGCGUUGUUCGGAAUCACUGGGCGUAAAGCGCACGUAGGCGGACUUUCAAGUCAGGGGUGAAAUCCCGGGGCUCAACCUCGGAACUGCCUUUGAUACUGUUGGUCUCGAGUCCGGAAGAGGUGAGUGGAAUUCCUAGUGUAGAGGUGAAAUUCGUAGAUAUUAGGAAGAACACCGGUGGCGAAGGCGGCUCACUGGUCCGGUACUGACGCUGAGGUGCGAAAGCGUGGGGAGCAAACA